GACCACCUCAGCAGAAGUGUGCGGAGCUCACCAGAGCCUCCAGGAUGAGGGGUCCGGGCCCGGGAAGGUUGGCCAAAGAUCUCUCUUCUCGUCCCAAACUGCAUUCCCUUCCUCGCCUCUGCCCCAAGCUGCCUCCCUUCCACACACAGCCGCCCUGGGGCCCGCGGCGGGGUGUGGAGAGCAUUGCCGCCAGCUCAUUACCGACCUCAGAGCUAAACUCAUGUUCUCUUCGGACAGAGACGUUCCUCUCGAGAACGAUUUUAACCCCUACCCAAGACAGCACGACUUCCACAAGCCGUUCAACAGACACCAACGACCUCCGCGGCCUCAAGCACCUCCCACAAGAGCACAGGCUCCGGACGCACAGGCUCAGCGGCCAUGGCUCACGGGCCCAGCCGCUCUGCGCCAUGUGGAAUCUUCCCGGACCGGGGCAUGAACCUGUGCCGCCUGCAUCGGCAGGCAGACUCCCAACCACUGCGCCACCAGGGAAGCCCAAAAUAGCAGAUGCAGCACUGCCAGAUGCAAGGAACUCGUCUUUGGCAGAAUGGAGAGACCUCAUUAAUGUGACCUGAGAACACGGUGUGGUCUCCAUGGUGAUUCUUACAGUUGAUUCUCAAGUACUUUUUAUAGUUUUGAUUCUGAGGUUAAAUUAAAGUGUUGCUGAAGAGACAUGAAAUAGAACCUCAGCGUCAAAUUGAGUCUUCCUUGGCAUUUCCUUUGUAAU